rnacentral:tRNA from 1 species
GGAGAGAUGGCCGAGUGGUCGAAGGCGCAUGUUUGGAGAACAUGUGAUCAGCAAUGGUCCCUGGGUUCGAAUCCCAGUCUCUCCGCCA